rnacentral:rRNA from 1 species
UACGUAGGGGGCGAGCGUUAUCCGGAUUUACUGGGCGUAAAGCGCGUUAAGGCGGUUGGCAAAGUUGGUUGUGAAAUCUCAGGGCUCAACCCUGAAAUUGCGACCAAUACUGGUCGACUAGAGUGCAAGAGAGGAAGGUGGAAUUCCCGGUGUAGUAGUGAAAUGCGUAGAUAUCGGGAGGAACACCAGUGGCGAAAGCGGCCUUCUGGCUUGCAACUGACGCUGUAGCGCGAAAGCGUGGGGAGCGAACCGG